CACUCGCAUUGGUUCCUGCGAUAAAACAACCCUACGGCCUCGGGGGGCCGAAAAUUUACGGAAAACCGAAGCUUACCGGCGGCGGUGCUCUCGGGUGCGGUGGCUCUCCGGUGAAGUUCGUGUUUUGGUGAUUCGGCUCUGAUCAACCUGUAGAGAAAAGAAUGGUGAUCACGGUGAUAUAAAAAUUGCAUUUAACGGAGGCCGGGAAGGGCCUCAUCGGAGGCAAAAACCGAGGAGGGGCGCGGCGGCGCCGCUGGCUUUCGGCCGUGUUUUUCGGCCGUUUGGCCGGGAUUUUGGCUCUGAUUUGGCCACUGGGGAAAUCAGCGUGGAAAAACGAGUCGGGGGUAUGAAAUUUACCUCGAUCGGCGGUCGGAAAUCCCUCCGAUGCGGCGGCGGGUGGCGGCGGCCGGCUUCUGGUUCGUCUUCUCCGGCGAGGGCAGGCGGCUAGGGUUUGGGGUCUGGUGUGGGGGUCUUAUUUAUACCCUUUUACCUUUUGAUCUCAGCCGUCCAUUUUGAUUUAAUCUGGG
rnacentral:lncRNA from 1 species